CUUGUGUGUUGGGCAUACUGUACCUAUGAAUGUAUGUCCUAAUGUGUUGUUUGCCCGUGUCCCUGCUUGCGAUAGUUUGCAGAUCCUCUUCAGAGUACUUCAGAUGACAAGGGACCCCUCUUAAAAACACAAGCCUGAACUCUUCAGUUUAAGAGCCCUGCUGAAUAUCCACAGGAAGUGCCACCCAUUCUUUGAAGAUGCUCAGGUUUUUGGUGAACAUUCAGUGUAAUGCUGACAUAGAUGAUCUCGACCCCUGGCUGCUGUGAAAGUUCGGGAUGCAGAGGAGGGAUGGAGAGAUGUAUACCUACUAAAGAAUCUGGGCAGAGACAAUAGAACAGCACACAGGCACUUGGGGAACAGAAGGGUGACACAGAGGGCAGCUCUCACCACAACAACUCUCCUCCUUUGAAAACAAAACCCCAACCUGUUACUGCUUCAGCCUGCCUGUGGGAGGGGAUGCUCGUAAUAAAGCUGCCAGCCCCCUCGUUAGACAUCACGAGGUUGGAGGGAAGAUUAGCAGGAUUAAGACUAGCUCACAUAUGCUGCUCUUCACUAUUGGCAUUCAACACAACAUAAGCCCAACUGCCACCCAGACGGAGGGAGAAAGAGAGAUGUAGAGGGUGAGAGUGAAAGUUUUCUUCUGAUAUUAAAGCAAUGCUACACUGAAUCAAAACUGUUUGGAAUAAUUGUGGAAGAAAAAAGGCU